rnacentral:rRNA from 1 species
GGGUAACGGAGAAUCAGGGUUCGAUUCCGGAGAGGGAGCCUUAGAAAUGGCUACCACAUCUAAGGAAGGCAGCAGGCGCGCAAAUUACCCACUCUCAGCUCGAGGAGGUAGUGACGAAAAAUAACGAUAUGGGACUCAUCUGAGGCCUCAUAAUUGGAAUGAGUACAAUUUAAAUCCUUUAACGAGGAACAAUUGGAGGGCAAGUCUGGUGCCAGCAGCCGCGGUAACUCCAGCUCCAAUAGCGUAUAUUAAAGUUGCUGCAGUUAAAAAGCUCGUAGUUGGAUUUCAGGACUGGAUCUAUUGGUUGGUAUGAUUUACUAACCUUUAGCUUCCGCCUAAUCAGCCGCUUGUCAUUUUGGGUGCUCUUUAUCGGGUGCUCAGAAUACUCGGCACGUUUACUUUGAAAAAAUUAGAGUGCUCAAAGCAGGCCUUGUGCUUGAAUACUGUUGCAUGGAAUAAUGGAAUAGGACUUCGGUUCUAUUUUGUUGGUUUUCGGAAUCGAAGUAAUGAUUAAUAGAGACAGACGGGGGCAUCUGUAUGGUGGUGUUAGAGGUGAAAUUCGAUGAUCGCCGCCAGACAAACAACUGCGAAAGCAUUUGUCUAGGAUGUUUUCAUUAAUCAAGAACGAAAGUCAGAGGUUCGAAGACGAUCAGAUACCGUCCUAGUUCUGACCAUAAACUAUGCCAACUGACAAUCGAGAUUUAUUUGUUCUAAUCAUCUCGGCAGUCCCUGGGAAACCUUUAAGUCUAUCGGUUCUGGGGGGAGUAUGGUUGCGAAGGCGAAACUUAAAGGAAUUGACGGAAGGGCACCACCAGGUGUGGAGCCUGCGGCUUAAUUUGACUCAACACGGGAAAACUCACCCGGCCCGGACACUGUGAGGAUUGACAGAUUGAUAGCUCUUUCUUGAUUCAGUGGGUGGUGGUGCAUGGCCGUUCUUAGUUGGUGGAGUGAUUUGUCUGGUUAAUUCCGAUAACGAACGAGACUCUAACCUGCUAACUAGUUGCCACGUGCUUAAUUGCGUGGAUUCAACUUCUUAGAGGGAUUCGCUACUCUAUAGUGGCACGAAACUGAGCAAUAACAGGUCUGUGAUGCCCUUAGAUGUUCGGGGCCGCACGUGCGCUACACUGACGAUAUCAGUGAGUUUAUUCCUAAGCCGAAAGGUUUGGGAAAUCUUAUGAAUUAUCGUCAUGUCAGGGAUUGGGGCUUGUAAUUAUUCCCCAUGAACGAGGAAUACCCAGUAAGCGCAAGUCAUAAGCUUGCGUUGAUUACGUCCCUGCCCUUUGUACACACCGCCCGUCGCUACUACCGAUUGGAUGACUUAGUGAGGCCUUUGGAUUGGAAUCAAUAGAUUGGCGCAAGUCAAUUUGUUGAAUCCGAGAAAAUCGUCAAACUUGGCCAUCUAGAGGAAGUAAAAGUCGUAACAAGGUU